rnacentral:miRNA from 2 species
AGAGAAGAAGAAGAAGAAGA